AGUGAACGCUGGCGGUAGGCCUAACACAUGCAAGUCGAACGGCAGCACAGUAAGAGCUUGCUCUUACGGGUGGCGAGUGGCGGACGGGUGAGGAAUACAUCUGAAUCUACUUUUUCGUGGGGGAUAACGUAGGGAAACUUACGCUAAUACCGCAUACGACCUACGGGUGAAAGCAGGGGAUCUUCGGACCCUGCGCGAUUGAAUGAGCCGAUGUCGGAUUAGCUAGUUGGCGGGGUAAAGGCCCACCAAGGCGACGAUCCGUAGCUGGUCUGAGAGGAUGAUCAGCCACACUGGAACUGAGACACGGUCCAGACUCCUACGGGAGGCAGCAGUGGGGAAUAUUGGACAAUGGGCGCAAGCCUGAUCCAGCCAUACCGCGUGGGUGAAGAAGGCCUUCGGGUUGUAAAGCCCUUUUGUUGGGAAAGAAAAGCAGCAGGUUAAUACCCCGCUGUUCUGACGGUACCCAAAGAAUAAGCACCGGCUAACUUCGUG
rnacentral:rRNA from 1 species